GGAAUUUUGGACAAUGGGCGAAAGCCUGAUCCAGCAAUGCCGCGUGAGUGAAGAAGGCCUUCGGGUUGUAAAGCUCUUUUGUCAGGGAAGAAACGGUGAGAGCUAAUAUCUUUUGCUAAUGACGGUACCUGAAGAAUAAGCACCGGCUAACUACGUGCCAGCAGCCGCGGUAAUACGUAGGGUGCAAGCGUUAAUCGGAAUUACUGGGCGUAAAGCGUGCGCAGGCGGUUUUGUAAGUCUGAUGUGAAAUCCCCGGGCUCAACCUGGGAAUUGCAUUGGAGACUGCAAGGCUAGAAUCUGGCAGAGGGGGGUAGAAUUCCACGUGUAGCAGUGAAAUGCGUAGAUAUGUGGAGGAACACCGAUGGCGAAGGCAGCCCCCUGGGUCAAGAUUGACGCUCAUGCACGAAAGCGUGGGGAGCAAACAGGAUUAGAUACCCUGG
rnacentral:rRNA from 1 species